ensembl:snRNA U1 U1 spliceosomal RNA
AUACUUACCUGCCCAGGGAGAUACCAUGAUCACAAAUGUGGUUUUUCUAGGUUGAGGCUAAUACAUUGCAUUUCUGAUGUACUGACCCCUGCAAUUUCCCCAAAUGUAGGGAACUCAACUAUGUAAUCUGUGGCAGUAGUGAACUGUAUUCGUGCUUUUCCCUA